GCAGUGGCUCUGCUCUCUCAACCAAACUGCCUCUCCUCUUCUCAUCCUUCUCUUCCUGAAAACUCGCAUCUGCCUCCAAAAUUCCUGAAAGUUCCCAGAGCGACCCAUCUUCAUCCCUCCAUCUCGCCAUCGUCGUCAUGUCACCUCGCCCCGCCGUUCAAGUUUCCGGAUACCAAGCUGUGAGUUGAAGGGGAGCAGCCCGUGUGUGUUACGCAUGUGUUGGGUUAGUGGGUAGAGAGCCAGGGCCAACCAGUGCUACUCUUGACAUUUAGAUCCGACUUUGUAUCCCCCGCUCGUCCACCUGCCUCUGUGAUGACUCCCAACACGCAGACGACUAAGGUAACCGUUUAGUCCCACACGUCAGCGGAGAAACAGGAACUGUGUACCACUCCUGUCCUGAGAAAAGGUCAGACAGAAAGGUCACGCUCAUUCUCCUGGCCUCCAUGUGACUGAUGUUGCCAUGUUGUAGGUACUGUUAUGUUUAAAACAAUGUAGACCAGCGGUUCUCAACUGAACGGCUGCCAGACUGACCAUCAACCUUUAAAAAAACAAGCUGUGACCCACAUUUUAGCAGUUACAUAAAAGUAGAGAGCAUUUAGAUAUGAAUUUAAUAUGUAUUAAAUUAUUAUUGUCCAUCAUGUAACACUUAAUUUAAUCCAAAACUGAAAAAAUAUGGAAUUAGAAUUUCCAACUUUUUGAGAAAAAAAUGAUCUUAACACUAGUUAGAUGCAUAAAAACUAAAUCUUUGUGCUACAUUACUGCCUUCUAUUGUUAGAAGUCAUACAUACAUCAUUUAAGUAUUGCACAGUAUUUUUUUGCUUUUUAUUAAAGCUGCUGGAGACUCAUUAUUAUUCUUACAUCAGAUAAAGACAUUGUAAUUUGCUAGAAAAAAAGAUUAAAAGCUUGAAAUUACCAUUUAAAAGUUUGUUUUGGUCUAGUAGUGUAAACACGUCGGAAAAGUUUCACGCAUUGCAUUGUGGGAUGUGGAGUCCCGUAGACUGAUGCACAGUAGAGUAUUUGUUUCAUUCUUAGUGUGAUUUCUUCACCAGUGACUUCCAAACACAAUGUUGGUGUUUUCAUGGACU
rnacentral:lncRNA from 1 species